UACAGAGUUUGCAGAAGGCACAAUGACUCUCGGUGGGACCCCAAGUGAGACAUCACAGAGGGUUUGGGGUGUGGCUGGCCCUAUGAGUUCACAGCCUCAGCGGACAGAGAGGUCUCCUCCCCUCCAGCUCCAGGGAGGGGUACAGCUUCCUGACAAGGACUGACAUGGUCCUAGAGGACCCCAGUCCCAGCCUGGAAGAAACGCUGGUCAGGCAGGUGCGGCCAGGCUGUGACGGAGCUGGGGUGCAGAGCUGGGGUGUGGAACAAAGACCCUCAGGCCCAUUCCUGCUGCUGAGAUGGGUACCCGCAGGCAAGGCUCACUCCUCUCCAGCUAAACUGGGAUGGCCCGGGUAACGGGGCCAAGUGACGCUGCGUGACUUCCAAGUCAAGGCCAGGAAACCUUGGUGGCUUCUGUGUGGGCCUCUCAGCAAGUUCCCGAACAGCACAGAGAAGUGCCUGCCCACCACCCUCCUCAGCCAGACGCCCAGGGCAGAGACCCCACCACCAC